CUACGGGAUGCACCAGUGGGGAAUAUUGCACAAUGGAGGAAACUCUGAUGCAGCAACGCCGCGUGGAGGAUGACACUUUUCGGAGCGUAAACUCCUUUUAUAUAGGAAGAUAAUGACGGUACUAUAUGAAUAAGCACCGGCUAACUCCGUGCCAGCAGCCGCGGUAAUACGGAGGGUGCAAGCGUUACUCGGAAUCACUGGGCGUAAAGAGCGUGUAGGCGGGUUAAUAAGUCAGAAGUGAAAUCCUAUGGCUCGACCAUAGAACUGCUUUUGAAACUGUUAACCUAGAGUGUGGGAGAGGUAGAUGGAAUUUCUGGUGUAGGGGUAAAAUCCGUAGAGAUCAGAAGGAAUACCGAUUGCGAAGGCGAUCUACUGGAACAUAACUGACGCUGAGACGCGAAAGCGUGGGGAGCAAACAGGAUUAGAUACCCGCGUAGUC
rnacentral:rRNA from 1 species